UAAGGAAUAUUGGUCAAUGGACGCAAGUCUGAACCAGCCAUGCCGCGUGGAGGAUGAAGGUCCUCUGGAUUGUAAACUUCUUUUAUAUGGGACGAAAAAGGGCUUUUCUAAGUCAACUGACGGUACCAUAUGAAUAAGCACCGGCUAACUCCGUGCCAGCAGCCGCGGUAAUACGGAGGGUGCAAGCGUUAUCCGGAUUCACUGGGUUUAAAGGGUGCGUAGGUGGGUUGGUAAGUCAGUGGUGAAAUCCCCGAGCUUAACUCGGGAACUGCCAUUGAUACUAUCAGUCUUGAAUACCGUGGAGGUCAGCGGAAUAUGUCAUGUAGCGGUGAAAUGCUUAGAUAUGACAUAGAACACCAAUUGCGAAGGCAGCUGGCUACACGAUUAUUGACACUGAGGCACGAAAGCGUGGGGGAUCAAACAGGAUUAGAUACCCUGGUAGUCCACGCCCUAAACUAUGGAUACUCGACAUACGCGAUAAACUGUG
rnacentral:rRNA from 1 species